GUCGAGCCGUGAGCUGUGCAACUCUUUGCUUAGCAAAAAAGAGUGGACAAGCUCAGUGAAUUUUUUGGAGUCUACACCUUUGGAUAAGGUUCCAGGUUCUGAACUUUGCCAGCAUGCAAGCCACCUGCCCAGCUUUCCUAGUGAAAGCGUGUCCAAACAGCGCCAUUGUAGUGGUGCCAAUGGUCCUUCGAGGGUUGUUCCAACGCCUGAAAAAACGCAUGUACAGAGAAAAUCAGGACAAAUGUCAAUAAGUGGUCGUGGAUGUCAUAAAAGGCCACAAAUAGCUCUAUUGGAAGAUACUAAAGGUCCAGUUGUGGUUGAUGACAUGAAGGAUCCAUCUGAUAAGCUAGAAUCGCAUCUGACAAAAAUUGACUCUCAAGAGAAAGCUCAUUUGUCAAGACAAAAGAAUAACUUCAGCAGCAAACGUGGGGAUAGGAGAAAUUCCAAAGUUUCCACGAGGGCUAAAUAUGAUUCCUUCUCUGUGAAGGCAAGUUUGGCGAGCUUCAGUUCAGCUGCUGCGGGAAACAACUUCUUUGGAUUGUAUGGUCUGAAGACAGAUGUUCAUGACAUCACAAAACUUGUAGAUGAUUUAUCAUUGAA
rnacentral:misc_RNA from 1 species